GAAAUGGGGCAACCCCAARGUAAAGUGGCGUACGGGUGAGUAACACGUAGGUAAUCUACCGAAGAGUCUGGAAUAACCUGCCGAAAGGCGGGCUAAUACUGGAUAGAGCGACGGGAUCCGUAAUUGGGUCUUUCGGGAAAGGGAGGCAGCAAUGUCCCUUGCUCUUCGAUGAGCCUGCGUCUCAUUAGCUAGUUGGUGGGGUAAAAGCCUACCAAGGCAUUGAUGAGUAGCUGGUCUGAGAGGAUGAUCAGCCACACUGGAACUGAAACACGGUCCAGACUCCUACGGGAGGCAGCAGUGGGGAAUCUUGCGCAAUGGACGAAAGUCUGACGCAGCCACGCCGCGUGAGUGAAGAAGGCCUUCGGGUUGUAAAGCUCUGUCGCGCGGGACGAACAUCCGGUGGGUUAACAGCCCAUCGGACUGACGGUACCGCGAAAGGAAGCACCGGCUAACUCUGUGCCAGCAGCCGCGGUAAUACAGAGGGUGCAAGCGUUGCUCGGAAUCAUUGGGCGUAAAGGGUAGGUAGGUGGUCUCAUUUGUCUGGGGUGA
rnacentral:rRNA from 1 species